AGGUCAUCCUGUUGAUUGCCUUCAUCUGUGUUCAGAGCUCUCUGUAGACUGACUACAGCACUUACAGCUACUUUGAAGUGGUCACCAUUUUCAACUUGAUAAUGAUCCUCACCAUUUUUUCUGAUCCACCUCUUCUGCCUGCUCACCUGUAUCUGUUGGCCCUUGUCAGAACUUCUGCACUAUUUAAUCAGUACCAUUUUUUCUGAUCCACCUGUUCUGCAUGCUCACCUAUAUCUGCUGGCCCCUAUCAGAACUUUGCACUAUUUAAUCACUACCCUGCUCCUCCUAAUCACCUCCAUCAUGGUGGCCUCCAAGCUUUAUAACAUAUCUUUGAUUUUGUUGCCACCUUUCCUGCAUGACAAGCAUAUGGCUGUCCUACAAGAUCUCACGUGUAACCCAAGCCACAGAUGUAGCUAUC
rnacentral:lncRNA from 1 species